rnacentral:rRNA from 1 species
CGGGACGGGUGAGUAAUGUCUAGGGAAACUGCCUGAUGGAGGGGGAUAACACUGGAAACGGUAGCUAAUACCGCAUAACGUCGCAAGACCAAAGAGGGGGACCUUCGGGCCUCUUGCCAUCGGAUGUGCCCAGAUGGGAUUAGCUAGUAGGUGGGGUAACGGCUCACCUAGGCGACGAUCCCUAGCUGGUCUGAGAGGAUGACCAGCCACACUGGAACUGAGACACGGUCCAG